CCUACGGGGGGCAGCAGUAGGGAAUUUUCGUCAAUGGGCGCAAGCCUGAACGAGCAAUGCCGCGUGAACGAGGAAGGUCUUCGGAUCGUAAAGUUCUGUUGAAGGGGAAAAAGAGCGGAGAGAGGAAAUGCUUUCUGAUUGAUAUUACCCUUCGAGGAAGUCACGGCUAACUACGUGCCAGCAGCGGCGGUAAUACGGAGGUGGCGAGGGGUAUCCGGAAUGAUUGGGCGUAAAGGGUGCGUAGGCGGCCUGCUAGGUCGGGAGUAAAAGGUACCGGUUCAACCGGUACAGGCGCUGGAAACUGGCGGGCUAGAGAGCAGGAGAGGUCGGUGGAACUCCAGGGGUAGCGGUAAAAUGCGUAGAGAUAUGGAAGAACACCAGUGGCGAAGGCGGCCGCCUGGCCUGUUACUGACGCUGAGGCACGAAAGCGUGGGGAGCAAAUAGGAUUAGAUACCCGUGUAGUC
rnacentral:rRNA from 1 species